rnacentral:lncRNA from 1 species
UAUGUUACUUUGGGAAUCAUUCACUUAUAUUCAUCGGCUCUCCACGUAGUUUGCUAUUAAGAUGGUGCUGACUUCUCGUAUAAACUAUUUGGGGUUACUAUAAAACUAAAAGUUCAAGGAAUUGGUAUAAUAGGUACUUAUCCUGAUCUAACGUGUUGAGGUUCGUUUAGAGUGUUUGGCGGUAGUAGUCUUUGUCUUGAUUCGACUCAAGAUCGAUAAGAUGAGCAACCUUUAUACUUAUUGGGUGUUGAAUUUUUGUUGUUGUGGCUCAUGAAAGUUUGAGGGAAUAGAUAAUGGAAAAUUUUGUUCACACUCGGGACUUAACUUAAGAUAAUAGAUUUUUUUUUUUUAAUUAAUAAAUAAUAAUUAAAAUAGCAAUGAAAGGAAAGGUACAUACUUGAAGAAAUGGAAAUAGAAAGAACAUGGUUUCCCCCCCAUACUUAAACUAAACAUUGUCCCCAAUGUUUUAAGGAAAUGAAAUACAAUAUGGAAAGGAAAAAGAAACUACAACUAAG